rnacentral:lncRNA from 1 species
GGGGGGUUUGGCCAGCGAGGGAAGGGGCGUAGCAUAAACUGUUUUGGGGACAGACGAGUCAUUUCAGAGCUUCCAGUUCGGAGCCCACGGGCCGGACACAGAGAGCAGUGCUCUCCCCGGGAGGACAGGUUGGCAGCGAGGAAGCGGAGCCGGAGCCAUCCCCUGGUGAGCGACUCCCACCCUCGCCCCCGCUGCUGCAGAAACAAAAAUACAGGGGGGGAGGCACAGGGAGGAGGCAGCAGGGAGGCUGCUUUCUGCUGUUUCCCACGUCUGUAGAUAAAGUGUCACUGCUUUCAGGUGAAAACCCAGCUGGGAAGUUGCAGCCCCAGGGGGAUGGUGACACUGCCGCUGCAAAGCGGUGCCCUGGGUGCCAGAAGCAGUGGGACAGGAGGUGGGAGAUGCUCGGGUGGUGGGAACAGCUCCAGAGAGCGUUUGCUUUUGGCCAAAAGGCAGCAAGACAGAGGCGAGGGGGCACAGCUGGCUUCUUCCCUCCACAUUUUGGGGUGAUUUGACCUGAUUUCAGAGGGACAAGGUUUGCACGGCAGCCUCCUGUUGACUGGCCACGCUGCCUGGCUGAGUCUGUCCUCUCUUUCUCCUCCCAGGCCCAGGUGAGAGGAAGAUGAAGGUCCUGCUGACGCUGGCCGUGCUGCUUGCCUACAGUAAGUGCAGCCAUUCCCCGACCCACAGACAGGAGCCAGGCUGCAGCCCCACAUCAAUGUGGGGAGCAUCCCCAAACCCUUGCGAAUGACACGGGGGGACCCCCCAGCAAAGCCCUCCUCUCCCUCCUGGUUCCCCAGGCCUCAUUUCUGCAUACAACUUGCAAAAAAAAAUCACAUUUUCUGGUCACUCCAGGUGUGUUCACGGCUCGUGGGAAGCACCCCCGCGCGUUUGCACCGGGACUGGAGGGAAGCACCGUAGGAAAUCUGACUGCCCACAGCUGCUACACCUCGAGGGCUUCAACGGACCGGUGCUGCCGGCUCCGUGCCUGCUGCUACGCCAGGCUGGCUGCACAGCGAUGCCGCCCGGGACCGAUCCAGCCCAUCUCGGUGCCCGGGGCAGGAAUCCCCACCUGCAGUGAGUCCCCACCAUCGUGGUUUGGGAUGCCUCUUUGGUUCCCCUUUUACAGGGCAGAACCCCAUCCCAAAAAGAUGGUCUCAGAGGUGCUUUCUCUCCCAUUCCUGCAGGGUCCGGGACCCGGUGCCAGCGAGGUGCCUGCAGAUGUGAGCGGGCAGCCCAGCUCUGCCGGCUGCGUGGACGGGGGAUGCCCCGGCGUCGCAGCAAGUGCCAGGGACGAGCCGGGCGGUGUUGAAGCAAAAGGGCUUUUUUUAUAUAUAUAUAUUUUUUUUUUUUUUGCAAAACCACCUCCAAGCUGGGUAAGAAAAGGGACGGAGGAGCGUUUCCCAACUCCUCCUCGGGGCUUUUUUGGCUUCAGCAUGAGGACAACAACCCCCUGGUGAAGUUGCGUCACUGUACACUGGAUGCGAGGAGGGAGAGCGGCGCAGACACAACGUUUCAGUGCAGAAAAACAAGGGAGGGGUGGCCACCUGCCCCUCGUCCCGGCAAAGAGCGAGGUGGAAACCGGCGCGAGCCUCUUGGCUGACACUCAUUUCCCCUUGGCUCCAGCUCCCCGUGCAGUCUGUCAGCUCCCUCUGCUUUUUGCUUCGCUGCAAAAUCUCUUCCGUUGCUCCAAAAUAAAACCAGAGCGCGCAAAACA